rnacentral:misc_RNA from 1 species
AACGGUCUAUACCUGCGGUACCUGCGGAGGGAUCAUUACCGAGUUGAUUCGAGCUCCGGCUCGACUCUCCCACCCUUUGUGUACCUACCUCUGUUGCUUUGGCGGGGUCCGCGGGCAGGCUUCGGCCGGCCAGCGCCCGCCAGAGGACUACAAAACUCCAGUCAGUGAACGUCUCAGUCUGAAAAACAAGUUAAUAAACUAAAACUUUCAACAACGGAUCUCUAGAUCGGAAGAGCACAC